AACGAACGCUGGCGGCAUGCCUAACACAUGCAAGUCGAACGAGACCUUCGGGUCUAGUGGCGCACGGGUGCGUAACGCGUGGGAACCUGCCCUUAGGUUCGGAAUAACUCCCCGAAAGGGGUGCUAAUACCGGAUAAUGUCUUCGGACCAAAGAUUUAUCGCCUUUGGAUGGGCCCGCGUUGGAUUAGCUAGUUGGUAGGGUAAAAGCCUACCAAGGCGACGAUCCAUAGCUGGUCUGAGAGGAUGAUCAGCCACACUGGGACUGAGACACGGCCCAGACUCCUACGGGAGGCAGCAGUGGUGAAUAUUGGACUAUGGGCGAGAGCCUGAUCCAGCAAUGCCGCGUGAGUGAUGAAGGCCUUAGGGUUGUAAAGCUCUUUUACCCGGGAUGAUAAUGACAGUACCGGGAGAAUAAGCUCCGGCUAACUCCGUG
rnacentral:rRNA from 1 species